GCCAGUACAGUUAUUCUUCUGCUGUGUGCUGUCUUGACUAUAUGUCUGAUUGUUAUAGCUGUCCUGAUUUGCAUGUCAAAGAAAAACAGCAGGGAUAAUUGUGAAGGUGCUGUUCCACAGAAAAGAUUCAGCGCUCAGAAAAAUCAACAGAAUAAGGACACGUGGUUGUUUUCUGCUGCUGUCUUUACCAUGAUGAAAGCUAACAGAGGUGCAUUAAAAGGUGCAAAAGCAGUGAAGAUGCAGAAGAUCAACAUGACUUGCAAGACUUUAGGGAUGGAUCACUGAAUUAGCAAACCUGUUUAGCAUCACUUGGUAUGUGAUCACCUAGUUGAUGUU
ensembl:lncRNA